CGUUAAGGAGCCAACUCAUAAAGAGGCCAUACUAGAUUUAGUGUUAACAAAUGGAGAUUUGGUAUCACAUAUUACCGUAGGUGAAAGUUUAAGAUCCAGCGAUCAUCAGUCAGUGUGGUUUAAUAUAAGAACAGUGACUGAGACACACCACACAAAAACAAAAGUUUUAGACUUUAGAAAAACAGACUUUUCUAAAAUUAGAAUAUG